GCCACUCCCAGCCAUCCUUCCACCCACUGCUUCUCUCUCUGCUGCAUAUGAAUGCUCACCCAUUGCUUCUUGCUUCUCUCUCCUGCAGCACGGGCGGGCGGCGCUGCUCUGCCACCUCGCCUCCUUGCUGGCUUGAGCUCGCCCCGGUGAUGGCCAGGACGGCCACUACACCAGCUCCCGGGCCUUCUUCUCCAACAUAGCCACUGACAAUGGCCACUACGACUUCAGUGAAUUUGACGGCAGAUGCAACUACAACAGCCUACGAUAUUCUAGAGAAGAACAACUUCCCGUGCGGCCUCCUCCCCAAGGGCGUGCGAUCGUACGUCCUCAGCCCAGAUGGCAAACUGGAGGUGACCCUCUCGGGCGAGUGCAGGUUCCCUGUCAACCUCGGUGGCCAGAGAUUCAUCCUGUAGUUCGCCAGCACCUUCGGCGGAGUCAUCCAUGUUGGGUCCAUCACCGAAGUGUACGGUGUCAAUGUGCAGGUCAAGUACGCUUGGCUCGGGUUCAACCAAGUCGACCGUGCCGGUGACCAGCUCACGUUCCAUGUUAAACAGUUCAUGCAGUCGUUCCCUGUAAGCGGGUUUGCCGUGAGCCCCUCCUGCACCUAAGGCUCCACUAUAAGUACGACCGCGGCCAAGUGUCAUACAUGGCAUUGGUGUUGGUUUUUAUUUCACUUUAAUUUCUACGUGAGUUGAUAAUGUAAAGAACACACCUUGUGUAUUCAGGGUGAAUAAUUGACGGAUUUAAUGAAAAAACAGAACAUCAGAUGUUCCAUGGAAAUUUGCAUUCAA